GAUCAUGGCUCAGGAUGAACGCUAGCGACAGGCUUAACACAUGCAAGUCGAGGGGCAGCACAGGUAGCAAUACCGGGUGGCGACCGGCGCACGGGUGAGUAACGCGUAUGCAACUUGCCUAUCAGAGGGGGGAUAACCCGGCGAAAGUCGGACUAAUACCGCAUGAAGCAGGGGCCCCGCAUUGGGGAUAUUUGCUAAAGAUUCAUCGCUGAUAGAUAGGCAUGCGUU
rnacentral:rRNA from 1 species